GAGUUACAAUACAAAAAUUCAAAGCGAUUCAUAUGUAAUUGUCAAUUUUCAUUUUCAAUUCUUCAAUAUUUCCGGAUAUCGAAAUCUAGAUGUUUUCAGGAAAAUUUGUGGAAAAGAGAUGUUUCCCGUGUUUUAUUGUAGACAUUCGUUAAGCAUGGUGACGUCAUCGAGUAUUAAGAGCAUCCUUUUAUUACGAGUAUAUCGUAUUCCCUACACCGACACGUUUUCUGUAAAUAAUUUCUGAAGGGAAGGGAACCUGAAUAUUAUAUUAUAUUUUGAAGGAAUUGAUGAAGGGACGUUCUUCCACCGAACGAGUGAAAUUCUUCGGUAGACCGACGGUACGAAUUUUAUAGUUCGGAACAGCGCUGACUCAGGACAAUGGCACAUUUGGAAGAAAAACAUCAGCAAAGUUAUGACAGAAAGCAACAGUAAAGAUCCUCAAUUAUCUCGCAAAAGCUUUUGGCGCUAAGCUCAGUCGGAAAAAACAUUUUCGACUAAAAGUCCUGUCUCGGAUAAAAUACGACGAUGCGGAAUGAAAAUAUCUGGGCUAGACGUAAAUGUGUAACCACGCCCCGCGUGGUGAAUUAAUCGAUUUGGUAAAGGUUCUAUGUAUAACUGAUUAAUUUAACAUUUGAAUGGUACGUAAAAAUUUUGAGCUCUUUUCACAUGAAUUAUACUUUUAAUUUUGCCUUGCAGUAAUGAACCUUCACAUUUGUCAGAGUAUUUAGUGUUUUGAUUUAAUUUUUUUCGACACUUUUCUUUAUCCCUUUCUAUUUUAGUACUUUAAAUAUUUUUAUUUAAUUAUUAAGAAAGUCAAGUUAGUAUAUUUAUUCAUCAAAACACGUCAUUUUCGUAGGUAUUUAUGGCGACACUAUGAUAUGUUCCGAAUAAACUUAUUUGCGCCUAAUCAACUUAAGAAUUGUUCUUUAACCUAUGGUUUAUAUAUAGUAUUAUCAGUAUUUGGUACUGUGCUAAAUGCAAAAUUAAUCACAUGAAUGAAUGAAAUAACAUGUGCUAAAUGACAUGAGAUCGAACAAUGUUUGUUUAAAAUUUAUUUUAUAACUAGUUGCUCUUUUUAAUACGCUUUUAUUAGCUCCAGACGUAUGUAUGUUGUAACGGAAUCUUUGAACAUGAUUUUGAAUCCCUUCAAAACGUCGGAUUAACUCGAAAUUUGGUAUACUUAUUAAGGAUCGACGACAAUCGAUUAAUAAAAAUAAAAAAUUUAAACAUUGAAAUUCAACUAAAAAAUAAAAAAUAAAUAAUAGUUUAAAUAAACUAACAAAAUACGUUUUUAUAAACUCGUUGGUAUGUGGAUUCUAUAUAUUUUCAGAAAAAAAAAACCUUUAAAUGCGCAAGAGAAAGAAAUUCAAUUCUAAAUAUAAUACUUUUCAAUUCGCCAUUUUUUUUAUUUCCAAUAUUAUUUAAGGAUAUUUUGAAAACAAUAAGCGUAUGUAUUCACAGAGCAACUAGCAGCUAUUUUUAGCAAACACAUAACAUAGAGCUAUUAGCUUAACACAUAUUUCCAUUUGUCCUGGUUCUCACCGGCUAUAUGUUGACUUUAUAAAACAACAAAGGCGAGCCAAUUAUCAUUUCUGUGAACAGCGGUUUUUGUCUUAAAUAAUAAAGUGAAUUGUUUGCUUUGAGAUCAACCUUAAAUGACAAUAAUACAGCGUUCUCACUUGUCGUUUCAGUGUUCAAAAUUGAGAAGCGCUUUUCAAUAGCGAUCUGGAAUGACUUUUGGCGUUCAUGUAGAAAAUUGCAUCUCAUGAUAAUAAUAAAAAGAACAAGUAGCACAGGGUUAUCUGGUCCCAAACUAAAAUUUCCUGUACUAUGGGAACCAGAGAUUGAUGCACAAAACAAAUUACAAUCAUUACAGUAGAAAUUGGCUAAAUCGUACAAGUAGUACCUAGAUCUAAUCUGGAUUGCAAUCUAAAUGGUAUAUGCACUCAGUAAACCAGUAUUAAUGUACAUAACUUUGCUUAUUAACAAAAUUACAAAUAAAAAUAAAAUUACGAGAUCCAGGAAAAAAAUCAAAAAAAAUGGUAUCCACAUAAGUAGACAACAAUACAACCAACACAAACAUUAUAUUGAUGAAAUUAAUUAUAUAUAAGUAGAUAUAAAAUACCCAGAGAUAGAAAAAAACACGUUUGUCUCUCGUUUGUCCGGUGCGAGAAUCAAUCCUUUUUACGACCUUUGGCCCAGUAGUUGGGGGGCUGGCUAUUAUGGUAUCUAGUCAACCAAUUCACCGAAAAUUUGGAUUGGGUGUGACUUUGACGCCGCUAUUACAUAAAAGUGUGAUUUUUGAAUUUCUGUUUAAAAGAAUAAAUUCUGUUUUUAUUAUUAUUGAUUUUAUAGCUAGAUAGCCCAUAAUAGUUUCACUCACUUAAUUAAAGAAUAUAUGUAAAGUGUAUGUGUAUUUUUAAAUAGAUAUCUUAUAUAUUUUAUAAUAGCAAAAUAAAAAAUUAUAAAAAUGUAAA